rnacentral:rRNA from 1 species
AGCGAACGCUGGCGGCGUGCCUAACACAUGCAAGUCGAACGUGAAAGGGAGCAAUCCCAAGUAAAGUGGCGUACGGGUGAGUAACACGUAGGUAAUCUACCCCAGAAUCUGGAAUAACCGGCCGAAAGGCUGGCUAAUACUGGAUAGAGCGACGGAAUCCGUAAUUGGGUUUUUCGGGAAAGGGAGCCUGUAAAAAGGCCUUCGUUCUGGGAUGAGCCUGCGUCCCAUCAGCUAGUUGGUGAGGUAAAAGCUUACCAAGGCAAUGACGGGUAGCUGGUCUGAGAGGACGGACAGCCCCACUGGAACUGAAACACGGGCCAGACUCCUACGGGAGGCAGCAGUGGGGAAUCUUGCGCAAUGGACGAAAGUCUGACGCAGCAACGCCGCGGGAGUGAAGAAGGCCUUCGGGUUGUAAAGCUCUGUCGAGUGGGACGAAAAUGCUUGGAGUUCACAGCUCCAGGAACUGACGGUACCAAUAAAGGAAGCACCGGCUAACUCCGUG